AAGGAAUUUUCGGCAAUGGGCGCAAGCCUGACCGAGCAACGCCGCGUGCGGGAUGACGGCCUUCGGGUUGUAAACCGCUUUUCGGGGGGAGGAUAAUGACAGUACCCCCGGAAGAAGCUCCGGCUAACUCUGUGCCAGCAGCCGCGGUAAGACAGAGGGGGCAAGCGUUGUCCGGAGUUACUGGGCGUAAAGCGCACGCAGGUGGCCGCGCAAGUGCCGUGUGAAAGCGCCGGGCUUAACCCGGCGAGGCCAGGGCAGACUGCACGGCUCGAGGGCGGCAGAGGUCGUUGGAAUUGCCGGUGUAGUGGUGAAAUGCGUAGAGAUCGGCAGGAACACCCAAGGGGAAACCAGACGACUGGGCCGCUCCUGACACUCAGGUGCGACAGCGUGGGGAGCCAAC
rnacentral:rRNA from 1 species